GACGUAGGGCGCGAGCGUUGUCCGGAUUUAUUGGGCGUAAAGAGCUUGUAGGCGGUUUGUCGCGUCUGCUGUGAAAUUUCGGGGCUCAACCCCGAACUUGCAGUGGGUACGGGCAGGCUAGAGUGUGGUAGGGGAGACUGGAAUUCCUGGUGUAGCGGUGAAAUGCGCAGAUAUCAGGAGGAACACCGAUGGCGAAGGCAGGUCUCUGGGCCACUACUGACGCUGAGAAGCGAAAGCAUGGGGAGCGAACAGG
rnacentral:rRNA from 1 species